rnacentral:lncRNA from 1 species
AGCCACACAAUGGGUAGCCUAAUUUGGUAUCGAAUUUUCCAUCCAUGAGAUUUGAACCUAAGACCUCUCACUUCCAAAUGAAGAGGAAUACCACCAAACCGUAGUAAUGAGUGGCUAAACACUACGUUCCUUAAGGGUGUGUUUGGUACGCAGACGGGACGGAACGGGACGGGACGGGACGGGACGGAAUGGAACGGGACGGGACAGAACGGAACGGGACGGGACGGAACGGAACGGGACGGGACGGAACGGAACGGGACGGGAUGGAACGAAGGUGUAAUUUUUGAAAAAGACAUGGGGUAUAUUUGUCUUAAAAUGGUAAAACAUUGUGUUCCACAGACGUGGAACAAACCCGUUCCAGGGGGUGAAGGUGGGACGCAAAAACACCCAAAAUCUGUCCCGUGGAACAGCCCGUUCCACCCAUUUUUGGCGCACCAAACGCGGGACAGAAUGCCUCGUCGCGUUCCGUCCCGUCCCGUCCCACGUACCAAACGCACCCUAAAAGACGUAUAAUUUGGAUUACAAGACUGAUUAAGUUUGUCUACAAGCACAUCACAAAGUUAAUCGUGAUAAACAUGAGCAAGAGACAUGUAUGUGUUAGGCACUAGGCACAACCUAUUUAACAUUGUUAAAGUAAAAUAUCCUUUCGUAAUGGUCAAAGUCAAUCACCCAUUAGCUAAAACUAAUCACACUUUAGAACCUUUGCUCAUGUUUUCAAUUUUCAACUUGCCUAUAAAAGCAUUUAAAUUUUAUAUUUGGAACCAUAAUUUUCACACUAAAAAUGCAUUAAGACCAAAUUACUGUAUAAUCCCUAGCCUAUUUCCAAAUCAUGAUUAAUACUUUUGCUCAUGUUUUUAAUUUUCAACUUGACUAUAAAAGCAUUUAAAUAUUAUGUUUGGAACAAUAAUUUUCACACUAAAAAUGCAUUAAGACCGAAUCAUAAUUAUAUAACCCCUAUGUCCUAAUGAUCAUGAUUAAUAUUUUACCUUGGAAAGUACUUUAAAUCCAAUGUAAGAGUUAUUUUCCAGUGCUUCUUUUCUUUGAAAAAAGAGGAAUUCUUGUUUGGACAACUAAGACUUGUUUAAAAAUGGUGGUUCUUUGGCUAGCUUGCACAAAGGUUUUAUCUUUUGGCUUCAUAUUUUUCAUUGGCUUUUGACACAAAUCAAGUCUACAUGGAGGAAUGUAUUUAGAAUAUGUUCACAUCACUUCGUUAGAUGAUACUUAUUGAAUAUAACCAUGAAAUUAAGUUCUAAGAGUGAGAGGUACGUACGUAUAGGGUUGUAUUGCAUGUAUAAAUUCAUAAAUAACGUAAUUAAAAGUCUAUGAAAUUUUCUUCUCAUAUUUUCAAUGACAAAAACAUGAUUAUAAGAGAAUGAAUGGUUUCGAUUAACAUUUUUGUACUGUAAAAUAACGUCCCAUUAGUCAGAAAGGAGGCGAUUCCUCCAUGCGAAUGAAGUAUUAGUAAUACAUAGCCAAAUGUCAAUUGAAAGAUAAUCCCUCUUUUGUUUAAUACUCACAAUAGUUUCUCAAAUCUCAAGCUAAAAGGAUGGAAAAAGAGCCUCAAAAAAGGCCAAAUAACUUUAUCUCGAAAUCAGAGUAGGAUUCUUUCUUCUUCUAUUUCCCUCUCAUUUCCUCAUCUCCUCUCCUCUCACAUUUGUCUUUUAUCUCUAUAAAAA